rnacentral:rRNA from 1 species
UACGGAGGGUGCGAGCGUUGUCCGGAAUCAUUGGGCGUAAAGGGCGCGUAGGUGGCCCGGUCAGUUCGUGGUGAAAGCGCGGGGCCCAACCCUGCGUCGGCCAUGAAUACUGCCGCGGCUGGAGCACUGUAGAGGCAGGCGGAAUUCCGGGUGUAGCGGUGGAAUGCGUAGAGAUCCGGAAGAACACCGGUGGCGAAGGCGGCCUGCUGGGCAGUUGCUGACGCUGAGGCACGAAGGCCAGGGGAGCAAACGGG